CAAGUGUGUUCUCCACAGUCAUGCUGACUCUCAGUGUCUGCAGGGUAGCCACUGAGAAUUUACAGAGAGGUGUCUGGCACUUUGUGCAUCUUUGAGGGAUCCUCUGCAGGGCAGCACUUCUCUCCCAGGCCCAGGUUAUUAAAUGUGUUGCUCAGAUAUGGCAAACAGUGCAGCCUCCCACCAUUCUUUUUCCACCAAGACUCUGCUUUUCCAUUCUACUGAUCUCUCUGUGGUCCAUACUAUACCCUGAUGCUGCUUCUCUUUGCUACAUCCUCACUCUUGACAAAUCUGAGUCUGCACCAUGGGGAUUCAAAGUCCAGGGCCAACUGAACCAAGAGACUUUCCUUUCCUACAACAGUGUCAACAACUGUCAUGUGUUUGGUGUUCUGGGGAACAGAAUGAAUGCCACAAAGAUCUGUGACAAACAAGUUGACACUCUGAUAGAUGGAGCUGAGCUGAUCAAGCAGCAAGUGAUUCGAAUGAAUAAUAUAAUCAGAGGUAAGUUUCAAAUGGCCGGGGAUGAUCUAGCACAGUGGUAGAGUGCUUGCCUAGCAUGCAUGAGGUCCUAGGUUCAAUCCCCACUGCUACAAACUAAAUAAAAGAACUUAUUACAUGAUCCCAUGUAGGAAAGAACAGGAUCUGUGGCAUAUUGAGGACAUUCAUUGUUUUCUUAGAGGAAAAAAACACGAAUGAUUGGUAGUCCCACCUAAGAGGUCCAGCAGAAAGGCUAAAAUGUGCAGGGAAAAACAAGGUCAGAGACUAAAAAGGGAGGAGAGUAGGUUGACAGGAUUAAACAAGGUCAGAGGCUGAUCUCUUUCCAAUGGGCACAGAGCCCCUCACUCUGCAGGCCAAGAUGCAUUGUUGGCAUGAUGCAGAUGGACAUUUCAAUGCAUCCUGGGACAUUGACCUCAAUGGACAGAACAUUCUGCAUCUGGACUCAAGCACUGGGAAACUGACUGAAGUUGGUCCUGGAUCCAGCUGGAUUAAAGAGCUAUGGGAGGAAGACAGGGAUGUGACUGCCUUCUUAACAGUGACCUCACAGGGGACUGUGGGCCCUGGCUUCAGGGGGUCACGUUGCACUGUGAAGAAAAGCUGCAGCCUACAGAAUCACUGUUGCUUUUCAUUUCACCUGAUCCUCCUUCUUCCCUGACACCAUCCUCAGAGGACAUCCAUCCUCAUGACUCCUCUCCUGGCAGCAGGAAAGAUGAUGGCCCACAAGCACCCUGCUUCCCCUACCAUGGCUGCAUGGGUCUUUUGAGGGAAGGGGACAUCCCUCUCCCUUCCCACUCAGGACCAACCCAAACAGUUGUUGCAGAACAACAGCCUCACCAAAUGGUAUUCCUGAUGUGGACCAACCGCCUUUGUCACUGGCCAUCAAGCCCAACAUCUCUGUCCUGGUGAUAAUCCUCACCUGCUCCCUCCUGCUUCUUAACUGAGGAGAAGCCUUGACAAUGACAGGUACUGAGGACAGUGUUGGGAGUGGGGUGAGGGAAUGACGGGUGAGGAGUGAGGAAGCAGAGGGAAUUCCUGAAGUCCUACUCUUGUCCCUCAUCUAUAGCAUCUCAUUGAGAAAGGAGGCGGGAGACCUGGAGCUCAUGUCACCUGCUAGCAAUAGCUUGUGCAUGCUUGGCCUCGACUCAGCAGGAAUCAGGUCACAGAGCAGUGGGGAAUGAGGAGGCAACACAACAUGUACCUAAACACAGCAGGCUCCUAAUUGGGAGGUUCCCAUGGUACAGAUGAGGAGAAGCAGGAACAUAAAAGAACAUGGUAGUUCACCUCAAUGUGUAGAGGGAAGAAGAUUCCAACCCAAAGUUACAGAUAAAGACAAUACAAAUAAAGAGAUGGCCCAGUGGCAAAGCCACAUGUUGUUCAUGUAUCAACACAGGGUUCAAUUUCCAGCACCCACAUGGCAGCUCACAGCCAUUCAGCUCCAUCUCCAGGGGAUCCUGCCCCUUCUUCUGUACAGACACCAGGCAUCCUCACUGUGCACUUACAGACUUGCAGGCUCACACUCAUACACAUAAAAUAGAAAUGGAUUGAGCAGCAGCAGCUCCCAGAACCCCUUAAGCAGUGUCCCCACUGGAUGCUAGUGGGACUGAGCUGCUGCUGGGGUCAAUGCUGUCAUCUGAGCUGCCCAGAUGGACAAUGUGG
ensembl:lincRNA